CUUGUUGUCUUCACACUGCAGUUGAAUCACGUCUCCACAUUUGAUGGUGAUGCUGUCUGGUCCAUUUUGAAGACAGUCAGCCAAAGCCCUGUAUCUGCCUGGAGACUAACACAAAAGGAAAACUGUCAGGAACAAAUUGCACCAAAACCUCCUCCUCCUCCGUGUCAGAUGGGUGGAAAGCGUCCCGACCUCCAGACCACUCCUCCAGACCCUCGCAGAUGUCUACCGAGUGAUGAGCUCCGGGCCAACCUGUGACAAUCACACAUCACUCAGGCUGUUGCAGGAAACAAGCUCCCACACUUUCAGGAGCCUCCAGGCAUCCUUCCAGGUCCUGAAGGAAAACCCUGGAUUCCCAGAAAGUUCAAAGUCAAGAAUUAGAUCUCACUCAUUUUAACCCAUACACUAACACGCAUCAGCCUAAUACAAUAACUGACUGUUGGGGCCUUGGCCAGCGUCUGUUCUAUACAGCUGUUAUUUUCCAGUGUUUUGCAUGUAUGUAAAGUCUUUUUUAUUUUAUUUAUAUUAUAUUUUAUUUAUAUUUAUUAUUAUUUUUUGGCAUUUGUAAAGUUAAGCCACACA